UCUCUUUUCUUUCUUCUCUAUUCGUUCUUCUUUCUUGUUCCCGUUCUUUCUCUUUCUCUGUUCGAUCCAUGUUGAUUCUUGGUGAGUUAUGUGAGAAAUUAUCGAAGUAAACUAGAUGUUGAAGCUGUUUUUAGCGAUGAUGAAGAUGUUGUGGUUCUGAUUUGUGAAGAAUAACAAUUGAAGAUUGUUACAAUUUCGGGAUAAGUUUGAGAAGAUCGAAAUUAGGGUUUGGAAUGAAAUUGAUAGGUGAACUGGGUCGUUAGUGGAUGAAGAACUGAUGGGUUGUUAUCGAAUUGACGAGGUGAAGCUGUUCUGACGAUAAAUCGAAUAGAAAAGGUGGUGUUGAGGUUACAUGGAGUUUGUGAAAUAUGAAGAUGUUGUUAUGAGUUUUUGGGUUGAACUAUAGUUGGUGGCUGUGCUCAUGUGUUUGAUUGUUAGAGGACAUGAAGGUUACUUUAAAUACCAAUGGAGAUCAGAGAUGAAGAUGAGUUUAUAUGAGCCAGUGGGGUUUCAAGUUGUAGAUAUUGCAGGUGUGGUGGUGUUGGUUUUUUGGUGACGCUGAAUUGAAGAGUAGCUGCAGCUGAUGGAACUAGUGGAGAGGCUGGAAUGCGUAUACAAUGAAGCUAUGGUGUAGUUUAAAUUGGAAUUGAAUUACAGUAGAUAAACGUGAUUGUAUUUGGUGAUUACAGGUGAUUGUGGUUGUUGGGUUGAAGUGGUGGUGUUGUUGCACUAAUGCAGGUGGAAUGAGAAAAGAAACAAUGUUAUUGAAUGAGACUCUCAAACAAAGUCUGGUGGUGUUUGACUAAUGAGUUGUUUGGGUGUGUAUAGAAAGGAAUGCUGAUGUUGUGUAAUAUGUAACUGAAGUGAAUCUACAGUUGAUAUAGGAAUCACUGAUAAAUGUAAAAGAAAAAUGAUUGAACUGCAAUGCAAGCCUGAAGUUAGGUUGUAAUGGUUGGUUUUUGAUUGAAGCAUGGAAAUAGGAGGUAGGUUGUGUGUUUG